ACAGCAACUUGUCAUGUAGGAACACAACACCAUGGGUCUCCACCUUGCUUGCUGGAGGAGCCUGUGCAGUGCAGCUCCCUUUAGGAAGGAGGCCAAGAAGCGCUCCUAUUUAAGCAACAGAGAAAUGAAUUGUAUUUUGCCAGAAGAGAAGCCAACUUCAGACCUUACUAGUCCUGUACAACUCAACAGCAGCUCGCUCUUGUGUUCAGCAGGGUUUUUAUUUGACCCCCAGUGACAAGCCAGAUGGAACAGCAACUGUGAGAAAAACUGCUGGAAACUGAACAAAGCUGAUGAAAGGAUAAGAGUAACAAAACUGGUCUUUAUUCAUUCAUCUGAUUUUACUGUUCGAAAUUCUCCAUAAACUGCUUGCAACCCAAACUCCUCCCCAUACAUGUCAAUCAAGAAGCUGUACAAUAAGGAUGGAAAGAGUUCACCACUAGCUUGGAAAGGAUCAGCAGAGAAAGAUCAAUAGAAGAGGCAGUAAAGAGGAUUGAGAACCUGGGAUCCCCAUGUCAGAUCUGCCUGCUAUAGAAAAUCUGAGGUGCCAAGAACACAAUAAAGAACUAAAUGGAAGAAAUACA